UAGUUUCAAACACUAAUUUUAGUUUCUCUUAAGAAUUCGGCAAUCUGUUUAAUUUUUUCUGCAGCAGCAGGAUCAAAUAAGAUGGAAUUAUACUCAAAACGGCGAAGACGCAUCGUCAAUACCGGCCUCUUUGCGACUAUCCGACUAUCCUUUGCGACGUAUGUACUUCGUGGCGGCUUCUUGCUAGCAGGAAUAAGCACCGAACCGAUCAUGUUCUCCGGCAGCAGCUCUUUUAGAUAUUUCGGAAAAUAAAAGCACUUACCUGUUCGAAGACAAAAUCGCCGGCCUCAGCUCGUAAAAUAGUAUUAGUUGGUGUGGUUCAACUUCUUUUAAAAUAAUAAAUGCAACCACCCACUGUGGAUAUUACAUUUUUACCAACUUGAUUUUUUUUUCUAUCUGUCCGGAUAUCAAUUUCCGUCAGAGGUUCGAAAACCAACGAGACGUUUUUCUAUACUUCCACCGUUGAUUCGUCGAAGUUAUAGGAAAACUAUGUUUCUUGAAAUGGAUUUCGAUCCGAUGACGGAAAUCGGAAUC